UACGUAGGGUGCAAGCGUUGUCCGGAAUUAUUGGGCGUAAAGAGCUCGUAGGCGGUUUGUCGCGUCUGCUGUGAAAACCCGAGGCUCAACCUCGGGCCUGCAGUGGGUACGGGCAGACUAGAGUGCGGUAGGGGGAGAUUGGAAUUCCUGGUGUAGCGGUGGAAUGCGCAGAUAUCAGGAGGAACACCGGUGGCGAAGGCGGUUCUCUGGGCCGAUACUGACGCUGAGGAGCGAAAGCGUGGGGGAGCGAACAGG
rnacentral:rRNA from 1 species